rnacentral:rRNA from 1 species
UACGGAGGGUGCAAGCGUUAAUCGGAAUCACUGGGCGUAAAGCGCACGUAGGCGGUCAUGUAAGUCGGACGUGAAAUCCCUCGGCUCAACCGAGGAACUGCGUUCGAUACUGCGUGACUGGAGUACCGGAGAGGGUGGCGGAAUUCCGGGUGUAGGAGUGAAAUCCGUAGAGAUCCGGAGGAACACCGGUGGCGAAGGCGGCCACCUGGACGGUUACUGACGCUGAGGUGCGAAAGCGUGGGGAG